rnacentral:tRNA from 1 species
GGGCCCGUAGCUCAGCUAGGAAGAGCGCCGGCCUUCGGAGCCGGUGGUCCCGGGUUCAAAUCCCGGCGGGCCCGCCA